UAAUUUGACUCAACGCGGGGAAUCUUACCGGGUCCGGACACACUGAGGAUUGACAGACAGUUGUCUUUCCCUCCCUUCGGGGUGGGAUUACAAAAGAUAACAGAUCUUUCAUGAUCAUGUGAUGGGUGGUGCAUGGCCGUUCUUAGUUCGUGGAGUGAUCUGUCUGCUUAAUUGCGUUUCAAAUUUUAUAUUUGUUAACAUGCGAGUCUUCAAUGACGGCCACUCCACCUUAUAGACAUUAUAUGAUAUGCACAUUUGUGUAUUUGAUUAUAACUUGUCUGGAGUCUGGCUCGAUUUUUUUGACUCAAUUGAACGCAACGGACGUGAUUGCAAGUCCUUGUUGAACAAAUUAUAUAUAUACUACUUCAUCAUUAGUAUAUAUAGUUCGCUUCUCAUGUCGUAGCAGUCAAACGGGCGGGCGUCUUAAUUGGCGCGGUCACGAGGCUUAAUAUGCUGCGGCUGGGAAAACUUGGGCGACCGCUGUAAUACUUCUCUCUUAAACCAGAGGAAGAUUGCGGCAAUAACAGG
rnacentral:rRNA from 1 species